AGUGAACGCUGGCGGCAGGCCUAAUACAUGCAAGUCGAACGGCAGCACAGUAAGAGCGUGCUCCUACGGGUGGCGAGUGGCGGACGGGUGAGGAAUACAUCGGAAUCUACUUUUUCGGGGGGGACAACGGAGGGAAACUUACGCUAAUACCGCAUAUGACCUACGGGUGAAAGCAGGGGUUCUUCGGACCUUGCGUGAUUGAAUGAGCCGAUGUCGGAUUAGCUAGUUGGCGGGGUAAAGGCCCACCAAGGCGACGAUGCGUAGCUGGUCUGAGAGGAUGAUCGGCCACACUGGAACUGAGACACGGUCCAGACUCCUACGGGAGGCAGCAGUAGGGAAUCUUCGGCAAUGGGCGAAAGCCUGAUGGAGCCACGCCGCGUGAGUGAUGAAGGCCUUCGGAUUGUAAAGCCCUUUUAUUGGGGAAGAACAAAUGCGGAUUUAACUCCGCCUGUUUUGACGGUACCCAAUCAGAAAGCCCCGGCUAACUUCGUG
rnacentral:rRNA from 1 species